rnacentral:rRNA from 1 species
GAUGAACGCUAGCGGCAGGCUUAAUACAUGCAAGUCGAGGGGCAACAGGGGUAGUGAUACCUGCUGGCGACCGGCAAACGGGUGCGCAACACGUACAGAACCUUCCUUUAAGCGGGGGAUAGCCCAGAGAAAUUUGGAUUAAUACCCCAUGGUAUUGUUGGGUGGCAUCACUUAACAAUUAAAGAUUUAUCACUUAGAGAUGGCUGUGCGUCUGAUUAGGUAGUUGGUGGGGUAAUGGCCCACCAAGCCUUCGAUCAGUAACUGGUGUGAGAGCACGACCAGUCACACGGGCACUGAGACACGGGCCCGACUCCUACGGGAGGCAGCAGUAAGGAAUAUUGGUCAAUGGAGGCAACUCU